AUGGGACGGUCUAAUAAAUUAAUGUCACUCUCGCAUUCAGAUAUUCAUUGGUGUUCUCGAUCUUUAGAGGAUGUUAUCAUUAUUGAUCAUUGUGGGGAAUUCCCUAAUGUCCCUCUCCUUGGAAUUAGGGGAGGUAUAAUUUAUAAUCCUUGCUUAGCUUUACGACAGUUUUGGUAUGCUCAGAGGGAUGGCCCUCCUGACGCGCUUAUCCAAGGAAUCGUAUUUGACUAUAAGAACGAUGUCCAAGGUUAUUGUCAAAGAUUUGUAUGA